UACGUAGGUGGCAAGCGUUGUCCGGAUUUACUGGGCGUAAAGAGCGCGCAGGCGGUCGUUCAAGUCGGGUGUGAAAGCCCUCAGCUCAACUGAGGAAGUGCGCCCGAAACUGCAGAGCUUGAGUGCCGGAGAGGGUGGCGGAAUUCCCCAAGUAGAGGUGAAAUUCGUAGAUAUGGGGAGGAACACCGGUGGCGAAGGCGGCCACCUGGACGGUAACUGACGCUGAGACGCGAAAGCGUGGGGAGCAAACAGG
rnacentral:rRNA from 1 species